GUUGGGAUCGUAUAGUGGUUAAUGCUCUGCCCUGUGGCUGCAGCAAGCCCAGGUUGAAUCCUGGUCAAGGCA